rnacentral:rRNA from 1 species
AUGCAGUCGAACGCGAAAGUCCCCUUCGGGGGACAAGUAGAGUGGCGCACGGGUGAGUAACACGUAGGUAAUCCACCUUCGGAUGGGGAAUAACAACCGGAAACGGUUGCUAAUACCGCAUAAUGCAGCGGCACCUAAUGGUGACAGUUGUUAAAGCGGGGGAUCGAAAGACCCCGCGUCUGAAGAGGAGCCUGCGGCGGAUUAGCUAGUUGGUAAGGUAAUGGCUUACCAAGGCAACGAUCCGUAACCGGCCUGAGAGGGCGGUCGGUCACACUGACACUGACAUACGGGUCAGACUCCUACGGGAGGCAGCAGUCGGGAAUUUUGGGCAAUGGGCGAAAGCCUGACCCAGCAACGCCGCGUGAAGGAUGAAAUCCCUCGGGAUGUAAACUUCGCAAGAACGGGAAGAAUAAGUAGGGGACAACACCCCCUAUGAUGACGGUACCGUUUGUAAGCUCCGGCUAACUCCGUGCCAGCAGCCGCGGUAAUACGGGGGGAGCAAGCGUUGUUCGGAUUUACUGGGCGUAAAGGGCGCGUACGCGGCCUCCGCAAGUCAGUUGUGAAAUCUCCGAGCUUAACUCGGAAAGGUCAACUGAUACUGCGGGGCUAGAGUGCGGAAUGGGCAACUGGAAAUUCUUGGUGUAGCGGUGAAAUGCGUAGAUAUCAAGAGGAACACCUGC